rnacentral:rRNA from 1 species
CCCAGUGCUCUGAAUGUCAAAAGUGAAGAAAUUCAAACAAGCGGCGGGUAAAACGGCGGGAGUAACUAUGACUCUCUUAAGGUAGCCAAAUGCCUCGUCAUCUAAUUAGUGACGCGCAUGAAUGGAUCAACGAGAUUCCCACUGUCCCUACUUACUAUCUGGUGAAAACCGCAGCCAAGGGAACGGACUUGGUAAUAUCAGCGGGGAAAGAAGACCCUGUUGAGCUUGACUCUAGUCCGACUUUGUGAAAUAUCUUUAGGGGUGUAGAAUAAGUGGGAGGGUAACCAAUCUUGAAAUACCACUACCUUAAAUGAUGUUUUACUUAUUUGAUUAUUAGAAAUUAAUAUUUUAGUAUUAAGUAUCCAUUAGGAUAUAAUUCUUUUCAAAGACAUUGUCAGAUGGGGAGUUUGGCUGGGGCGGCACAUUUGCUAAAAGAUAACGCAAGUGUCCAAAAGAUGAACUCAAUGAGAACAGAAAUCUCAUGUAGAACAAAAGGGUAAAAAGUUCAUUUGAUCUUAACUUUCAGUACGAGUUUAGACCGUGAAAGCGUGGC